AUACCCGCUGAACUUAAGCAUAUCAAUAAGCGGAGGAAAAGAAACCAACAGGGAUUGCCUCAGUAACGGCGAGUGAAGCGGCAAUAGCUCAAAUUUGAAAUCUGGUGCUUUCAGUACCCGAGUUGUAAUUUGUAGAGGAUGCUUCGGCUUACGCCCCGGUCUAAGUUCCUUGGAACAGGACGUCAGAGAGGGUGAGAACCCCGUUUGCGGCUGGCGGCCUCCGCCAUGUGAAGCUCCUUCGACGAGUCGAGUUGUUUGGGAAUGCAGCUCUAAAUGGGAGGUAUAUUUCUUCUAAAGCUAAAUACCGGCCAGAGACCGAUAGCGCACAAGUAGAGUGAUCGAAAGAUGAAAAGCACUUUGGAAAGAGAGUUAAAAAGUACGUGAAAUUGUUGAAAGGGAAGCGCUUGCGACCAGACUUGCCCGCGGAUGCUCAGCCGGCCCUUCGGCCGGUGUACUCUUCCGCGGUCAGGCCAGCAUCAGUUCGGGCGGUCGGAUAAAGGCCUUGGGAAUGUAGCUCCCUUCGGGGAGUGUUAUAGCCCUCGGUGCAAUGCGGCCCGCCUGGACUGAGGAACGCGCUUCGGCCAGGAUGCUGGCGUAAUGGUCGUAAGCGGCCCGUCUUG
rnacentral:rRNA from 1 species